CCUACGGGAGGCAGCAGUGGGGAAUCUUGCACAAUGGGGGNAACCCUGAUGCAGCGAUGCCGCGUGAGUGAAGAAGGCCUUUGGGUUGUAAAACUCUUUCGUCGGGGAAGAAAAUGACUGUACCCGAAUAAGAAGGUCCGGCUAACUUCGUGCCAGCAGCCGCGGUAAU
rnacentral:rRNA from 1 species